AGUGAACGCUGGCGGUAGGCCUAACACAUGCAAGUCGAACGGCAGCACAGUAAGAGCUUGCUCUUACGGGUGGCGAGUGGCGGACGGGUGAGGAAUACAUCGGAAUCUACUUUUUCGUGGGGGAUAACGUAGGGAAACUUACGCUAAUACCGCAUACGACCUACGGGUGAAAGCAGGGGAUCUUCGGACCUUGCGCGAUUGAAUGAGCCGAUGUCGGAUUAGCUAGUUGGCGGGGUAAAGGCCCACCAAGGCGACGAUCCGUAGCUGGUCUGAGAGGAUGAUCAGCCACAUGGGAACUGAGACACGGUCCAGACCCCAACGGGAGGCAGCAGUGGGGAAUAUUGGACAAGGGGCGCAAGCCUGAUCCAGCCAUACCGCGUGGGUGAAGAAGGCCUUCGGGUUGUAAAGCCCUUUUGUUGGGAAAGAAAAGCAGCAGGUUAAUACCCCGCUGUUCUGACGGUACCCAAAGAAUAAGCACCGGCUAACUUCGU
rnacentral:rRNA from 1 species